GAUUUCUGGUUCGGCGCAUUUGGCCCGUCUCGGUUUACGAGAUUGUGUGCCGGUAUGCGCCAUCCAUCCUUCGAUGAAAACAUUUCUACCCUUCACUGGGUUGGGAGUGCUAUCUCGAUCUUUUACUUUGAAAAAAUUAGAGUGUUUAAAGCAGGCUUGCGCUAUGAAUACAUUAGCAUGGAAUAAUAAUUUAGGACUUUGGUCUUAUUUUGUUGGUUUCUAGGACUAAAGUAAUGAUUGAUAGGGACAGUUGGGGGUGCUAGUAUUCAGCGGCCAGAGGUGAAAUUCUUGGAUUCGCUGAAGACUAACUUAUGCGAAAGCAUU
rnacentral:rRNA from 1 species